GUCACUUUGCCGGAGUGGUUAACGGGAUCGCCUGCUAUUCAUAGCUAAGCGGUUGGGCUUUGCCCGCGAGUGUUCGAAUCGCUCAGGUGACG